GACAGAGGUGCCGAGCGUUACUCGGAAUUACUGGGCGUAAAGCGUGCGUAGGUGGUGAGUUAAGUCUGAUGUGAAAUCCCCGGGCUCAACCUGGGAAUGGCAUUGGAUACUGGCUCGCUAGAGUGCGGUAGAGGGUGGUGGAAUUCCCGGUGUAGCAGUGAAAUGCGUAGAGAUCGGGAGGAACAUCUGUGGCGAAGGCGGCCACCUGGACCAACACUGACACUGAGGCACGAAAGCGUGGGGAGCAAACAGG
rnacentral:rRNA from 1 species